UACGGGGGGGGCAAGCGUUGUUCGGAAUUACUGGGCGUAAAGGGCUCGUAGGCGGCCAACUAAGUCGGACGUGAAAUCCCCAGGCUCAACCUGGGAACUGCGUCCGAUACUGGAUGGCUUGAAUCCGGGAGAGGGAUGCAGAAUUCCAGGUGUAGCGGUGAAAUGCGUAGAUAUCAGGAGGAACACCAAUGGCGAAGGCAGCUCGCUGGAACGGUACUGACGCUGAGGCGCGAAAGCGUGGGGAGCGAACAGG
rnacentral:rRNA from 1 species